GUAGCUCAGUGGUAGAGCAUGUGUCUAGAAUGCACCAGGCCCUGGGUUCAAUGCUCAGC
rnacentral:tRNA from 1 species